UGCACCCAAAUGGGGAUGUGGUUCAUCAACUUAUUUCUGGACUCUCUGGCUCUAAUUUAGGAGUGCAAGUGGGACUCCUGUGGGUGUCCUCUGUUGUGCAGCAGAGGCUCUUUGGAGGUCAAUGGACUUGCACUGGCAUUCAUUCCUUCUGCCUUGCAAAAUGCCAGGCCCUUUGGCCAUGGUUGGGUGCUGGUGGGAAGACAUGGUGCAUCACAACAGAGUGAAGCGAAGGGCCGGUCCCUGAUCCAUGUCACAACCUGCUUGUGUGAACACGGUGCUCUGUGUCCCCCUUUGCCACUGCUGACAAAUUAAUGGCUGCCAUUUAUGGCUGUGGCACCAUGGAGUUAUGGUUGAGAACAACCAUAUGGUUGAGAACAAUCUGCUUUGCACCAAUCCUGAUGGCUGUGUUUUUCCACUGGGAUCCUUCGUACUGUGACUUGAGGAUUAUGUGACGUAGGGUCCCACCCCAACUGCACCCCGUGAGUGCAUCCACCUGGUUUGUGAAUGGGAAGAGCAGGCAAAAACAAUUUGGAGGGCUUCCAUUUCCCAGGUUGCGAUGAGAUCAGAAGAAUACAGUAACCUUUGUUUUAUGUAUUUCUGCUGGAGAAUGUAAAACUUGCGACUGUAAUAUUUGAACCCAGAACUUCAAUGAAGAAGUGGAUCUUCAGCACCUUUAUGACACCUGACUGACCUUUGAUAUCACCAGUGUAGGCACCCAGACUGCUUAAUUAUCAACCACAUCAUCAGGGAGUGCUUCUUUGUGGCACGUGGCAAUGUAUUCACCUCACGCUGACUUUGGCAUUCAGGAAAAAAACCCAAGAGGUAAAUAAAACACCAUGUCACUUUGGAUAUUAGCAGCUCUGAUUAGUCAGAGAGGGCACUGAGGCUGGAGGAUGUCCAGCCUUCAAAUAAGCAGGAAGGAAAACAUUAUAUUGUGUUGUCUGCUGGGUGAGUGAGUGCACUGCAAAAGUUGAAGCCAUGUAGUGAAACUACCACAAUGCUUUGAUGGCACUUCGCUGUUAUUAAUAUCACUCUGUCUGCAGUGUGUGCAAUUAACUUAGGAGAAAGUUGCCAAAUAUCCCUAAAGGUGGCAGCUUGAUCAGAUGCAGAAAUGAUUCUGAAAUAGGGAUGAUCUCUGUUUCUCCACCCUUGACAAAGAAGACCAGAUUUAGUGGCCAGAAUAACUUUUUAUGAUCAGUUCAAGCUCUUGAACCCUGCACAGGCAAAUGGGCUGACUAUGGAUAAAGGUACAGAUGAGAUUUGGGAUUUGCAUAUCAAGGCUUGCUGGCUCAUUUUAUGGGAGCAACUUUCUCACAAAAAAAAAAAAAAAAGCCUUGGUAGUGAUUCAUGUGUUUGAGUCAAAAACUGACCUGGUUUUGGGGAGGAGAAAAGCUACGUAAUACAGCAAUGGUAGGAAAGAAGAUAAUAAUCAGGGAAGUCGUUCCUUGCAGGCAGCAUGAAGUUCUGUCUGUGGUGACUCAUGGUUCAGUUCCUCAUCUUAUGGAGGCGGUUCAAUUCUGUUAGGCACUGAGCAGAGUUUCUUCCAUUUCUUUGUGCUUAAGUCGUAAAAACCCUUCUCUGGUGGUUGGCAAGGGAGAGAGGUGGUAUGGUGCUGUGCUUAAAAAAAAUUAGGGAGUCUACUGAAUUUAAAUCAGCUCCCCUAAUUGAAUUAGGUAGCAUCUAUGACAAGCUAAGUGCAUGAAUGAAUAGAUUGGCAGGGCAAGGUCCACUUCCAAACACACCGUUGUGCUUUACAGAGGUGCUGUAGCUUUGAGAGUAGCAGUCCUUGGGGACCUUGCAUAGAUGCUGGAUUAUUACUGUAGCUAUGGGAAAUCAUAGAGUAUUACAGUCUGGCAAAAGCUGAAAGGACUUGGUCUGCAUCUCAACGGGAAGUGGGCUUGGAUCGGUCUCCAGGUUAUUUGGGCUUCGUGGUGGUUUGAUACAGUCAGUUGCAAAGAUUGUAUCAGUGCUUGGUUUUGAGAGAAAGCAUUUUGGAGCAGAUUUAAGCUUGGAAUAAACAAUCCUCUGGGCUGAUUUGAGCAGGACAGCCAACCUUUUUUUUCCCCUUUGUACUUUGACUGUGUUUUCUUCUCCUAUCCGUCACUGAGUCCAUUAAUCUGUCAUGGGGACAUUUGCCCAACUGUGUUAGACAAGCAAAUAGUCUUUGUCAAAGUGCUUCUAUGGUUCAGCACAAACAUCUGUAGAAAACAUGGUGCUGCUGCUGUGAAUGAGAAGGGCAGAGCAUGCAUCUUCUGAAUGCCUGACUGUAGGAGGCAGAAAUGGUGUUCUUAAAAACCCUGCAAUGCUGUCCAUGUAAGACUUGUUUUCUUCCUUUCUCCCUGUUGCUGUUCUUUGAAUGUUAGACUAAAUGAGGAGUCUUGCUUUUGCCUUGGGUAUAAAGAGGACAUGGAGAGCUUUCUUUUUCUUAUUCAUAUAUAUUAGUCUUCUAUAUAAAAUAUUUUUAUAUAGAUAUUUUCUGUGCAGAAAUCUCAACCACCUCCUGAAAAUGGAAACACUAAAUAAGUACAUAGCUGUGACAUCUACUGGCUGUCUCUAACAGCUAUAUUAUUUACCAUUUCCCAAGCCAGAAGUUGGAGUGCAGUCGGAACAGGUUCAUCCAGUCAGUGGCAGAAAAGAGAGGCACCUCCCCCAUCCCUUGAAGUUGAAUGUGUUUGUGUCAAAUCAAAUCCAAUACUCCCUUGGUUAAGACUCUACGGCCUCAUUACCAGCAGAUGCUGUGGGGAGAUUGAAGAUCAGGAUAGAGUCUUUGGGACCUGAUAAGAGACCUCUUAUCAGUCUGAAGCUCAAGGCACUCCUGAGCUGAUGGAUGUUUGGUGACAAACAUCACUGGGGGAAUCACCUUCUGGGAAGACUUCUAUCGUCUGUGAUGGCGUCUGACAAGACUAGCUUACCUGGACACCUAAGAUGAGAUUCUUCCCACUGAAUAUUAUGUUCAAUGAGCAUUUGGUUUAGAAUCACAGAAUCGUUUGAGUUGGAAGGGAGCCAGAAAGGCCGCCUGGUCCAACCUCCCUGCAAUGAAUAGGGACACCCACAGCCCCAUCAGAUGCUCAGAGCCCUGGCCAGCCUGACCCUGGGUUUCUUCAGGGAUGGGGUAUCCACCACCUCUCUGCAUUUGGCACUUAGAUUUGGCACUGUACACUUUGCAGUUUUACUUCUCCUGAUAGCCAAGCUGGGAAAAUUUGAGUGAUCCCACUCCUUUUUAACACUGGUGAGAGAUGGUGAAUGUUGGGAAGGUCUCUUCUUUACAACAGGACUUAAAUAAGGCUAUCAGAAUGUUGAGAUCACUAUUUGAAUGGAAUGCAUCUUCUGGGGGAAGGGAUUUCCUUCCAGGCCUGGACUUCAAGGGCCAUAAAUGUUUUUACAGCUACAAUACAUUGAAGGACUCCAACCAGAAGACACCAUGUGAUCAUGCAAGCAAACCCAAACAAGCAAACAGUCAUCUUUUCAGAGAACAAAAGGUCAAAGGGGGGCAGUGCCAUGAGGUCCUAGCCUGGAAAAACAGACCCUUUAUCAUGAAAGGGCCAGGGCAGUGCAUGUGGAGACAUCAUACACAUUGGGAGGGAAUGAGCCUUUCCAACUCAGAAAGUACUGUUCUCUGUCACAUGAAAACAAUAGCUCAGCACUGUGAAGGCAUCUGGUUUAGUUCAUGGGAACAAGAUUUUUCUUGCUCCCCAUGGGUUCAAUGCAUGAAUUAGAUAGAGAGCUCCAGGGCUCUCUAGUUCUCUUUUUUUCCUGGUAGCAACCUCCAGUGAACACAUAGCUCCACUAAUUGCACACCUGAAGGGAGCACUCCAGCAGCAACCAGGACCCAACCUUUGGUCUAAGAAGCCUUGAACCUCCCAUGCCUUUCCAGCUCUCUUCAUCUCCUUUUGCUAAUCCUGGGAAUGUUGGCUCCUCUCCUGCUAGCAAAAGGUUUACCUUUCCCUGAGCAUUUCAAAUGAAAUCCGAGACCAAGCACAGUGCUGCACCUUGCAACAGUUCUCUCACUUUUAUCUUGUUUAAUAAUGACAUUUCCUGGCAAUUGUGUGAGCCAUCUGGAACAAGAGAUACCUUGAAACCAGAAAACUGAGGGUAGCUGGAUUGUCUGUUUGCCAUUAACCUUUUAUACUUUGCUUUACAAGGAAGGGUGGGAAUGGGAAGGCUGUAUUUAUCCUCCUGCUGAUGGGCCUGGCCUGCUCACCUCCCACAUGCUUCACACUUCAGCAGACUCAAUAUAUGGAUCUGUUUUGUUUAGCAGUAUCUGUGUCAGGAAGAGCAUCAGCUUUCUGACACCCAUCGUGAUGGAAUGCUGCCUCAUUGCCUCAUUCCAAGACACAGUUAGUGGCAUAUCUGUUGCCCCACAGCAGUGCCUGCUGGCAGAGUAAUGCCUUUGGUAUCCCAGUCCAACAAUAGGAAAGGGAAUGGCUCAGGUGAACCAGCUGUCCUUCCCACCACUGGGAAUCACACACACCCAGUUGUGCUUUAUCCAGUACAUCCACAAUGAUGUAAUGGGGUCCAGGAACUGAGCUCAUUUAAAAAGAAGAUUGUGUGAAGCACAGUCCGGUAUCCUUUAUCAGAGGGCAGCAGAGAGGUCUGCUCUCUGGAGGUGAAUGAUGAGGAAGAGUGUAGACAAGAGGAGAAAUAAAGCCUAUAAUGUUGGCUGAACUCUACUUCCCUCGCUUGUGUGCUUAAAAUCAUUUGCUAGUUCAGGAAGAGCAUCUAGUGCUAGAUUCCUGUCCUUCUGUGACUUCCCCACCUUUGCUUCUCCCAGCUCCGGAUUCAUCCCACCCAUCAGGCACUCAGGUUGAACUGUGGCCAGAGCAGUGCUUAGGCUUCACUAUGUGAGCUGAAUAAAGGCACAUUCACAGGGCAGCUGAGUAGCAGCAGCUCGAGACACGUUAAAUCAGUGGGAUUGUUCAUUCUGGAGGAGUCUCAGGGGAGAU